rnacentral:lncRNA from 1 species
ACAAAAAUACACAUAAUGUGCAUAAAAAAUUAAUAUAAUUUUAUUAAUCUCAAAAAUUCAAUUACAAAAUUAUGUCCUAGAAACUAUAUAUGUGUCAGCCAAUCUAGCUUCUAGGACAUACAUCUAAUAUCUCUUUCCUACCCUUCCUUUCCCUCCCUUGUAGCUACGUCGAUAUGGAUCUAAAACAAAUCAGGAUGGUACCAUACUAUAUCAUACUGUACCAAACUACUAAACAAUUGGUGUGGAUCCCAGUUAUAACAUACCAUAUCGCUAGGCAACUAGUAUGGGUUCCAAUACCAGCAUCCUAUAUUUUGGUCUUGAGUUAUUGUGCCUUCUCCAACUUAUCUACGAGUCUUUAAUUGUCAUUCUAUUAGUGCAGUAAGAAACCACAACAAAAUUUAUCUAAAUAGAAGUUAAAUGUUUGCAAUUUUGUCAAAGGUGAUCAAUGUACUGAGUGAGGUUUGCAGAGAGGACAGCAAAAGAGAUCCAAUGUUUUUUACCUAGGAUUCCCUUGUAUUUAGCUUGUUCUUCGCUGCUAGUCACAUGAAAUAUUUACUUCUGGCCUUGAAAGUGCAAGGGCAAGUUGGCAGAUAAUUCCUCAAUGAUCUAAGAAUCUUAUAGGACUGAUAAAGUAAAUUUUGCUACCGCUCCUCUUUCGCUAAACUUUAUCCCAGUUGUUAGAAAGUUCUAUAUGAUCUAAGACCUCCAUCAUGUAAAUUGGCUACAUGCCAAUACUGAAACCACAACUAACAAUGCACAUUUGCACAUAGUUAAAGGUAAUUUACAAAUAAACCAAAAGAACACUUCAAGUUCUUUGAUUUCCAACAAGUGCUACAAAACCAAAAUAUCAACAAAGUUUCAAACAAAACUAUAGUAGCAAGGCUGGGUCCAACUAAUUAAUCCAGGAACUUGUUCUAUGCUCCCAUCUUAGUCAAAAACCGCCCCCUUCUAAACAUUGGAUUCUAAAAAGGAGGGAGAGAGGGAGAAGGGUGAUGAGCUAAAUAUCCAGUGGGUAACCAAAAAUCAUAGAUAGAAGGAUCAAGCAAGUAAAAUAUGAAAGGACUUUUAACAAACUAUGAUGCAUAAGACAAAAAAAUAUGUCGAUAGUUA